AACCAUAGAAACCUGCGGAGUACCUGCGGAAGGAUCAUUACAGAGUUCGUGCCCUCGCGGGUAGAUCUCCCACCCUUGUGUAUUUUCUACAUCUUGUUGCUUUGGCAGGCCGUUGGUUCGCCAACCACCGGCUCGCGGGCUGGUGCGUGCCUGCCAGAGGACCUCUCAAACUCGGUUUGUUAGUGUCGUCUGAGUACCAUAACAAUCGUUAAAACUUUUAACAAUGGAUCUCAGAUCGGA
rnacentral:misc_RNA from 1 species